UGAGGAACAUGACUUUCGGCGGGGGAUAGCCGGCCCAACGGCCGGGUAAUACCGCGUACGACCUGUCGGGGACAUCCCUGGUGGGUGAAAGCAGCAAUGCACCGAAAGAGUGCCUCGCGGCCUAUCAGCUAGUUGGUGGGGUAAUGGCUCACCAAGGCGACGACGGGUAGCUGGUCUGAGAGGAUGGCCAGCCACAUUGGGACUGAGACACUGCCCAGACUCCGUACGGGAGCAG
rnacentral:rRNA from 1 species